rnacentral:siRNA from 1 species
UGUUGUAUCCUUUCUAGCAGUCCA